AUGAGUAAAGUGGCGCACGGGUGAGUAACGCGUGGGUAAUUUGCCUUUGAGCUCGGAAUAACUUCGGGAAACCGGGGCUAAUACCGGAUAAGACCACAAAACAUAAGUUUUGCGGCCAAAGCUUGCCUCUGAUUCAAGCAAGCACUCAAAGAUAAGCCCGCGUCUCAUUAGCUUGUUGGUGGGGUAACGGCCUACCAAGGCUUUGAUGGGUAGCCGGCCUGAGAGGGUGAACGGCCACAUUGGCACUGAAACACGGGCCAGACUCCUACGGGAGGCAGCAGUGAGGAAUAUUGCGCAAUGGGCGAAAGCCUGACGCAGCAACGCCGCGUGAGCGAUGAAGGCCUUCGGGUUGUAAAGCUCUGUCAGCAGGGACGAAUCCCCCUGAGGUUAAUAGCCUCGGGGACUGACGGUACCUGCAAAGGAAGCCCCGGCUAACUUCGUGCCAGCAGCCGCGGUAAUACGAAGGGGGCAAGCGUUGUUCGGAAUUAUUGGGCGUAAAGGGCGUGUAGGCGGGCUCUUAAGUCAGAAGUGAAAUCCCUCGGCCCAACCGUGGAACUGCGCCCGAUACU
rnacentral:rRNA from 1 species